UACGGAAUGUGCAAACGUUAUUCGGAAUCACUGGGCUUAAAGAGUCCGUAGGCGGCUUGUUAGGUGAGGUGUGAAAUCCCCCGGCUCAACCGAGGAAUUGCGCUUCAAACCGGCGAGCUUAGGAAGGUAGAGGUGGGCGGAACUGAUGGUGGAGCGGUAGAAAUGCGUUGAUAUCAUCAGGAACACCGGGAGGCGAAGCGGCCCACUGGGUCUUUUCUGAGCGCUGAGGGACGGAA
rnacentral:rRNA from 1 species